GAUCCUGGCUCAGGAUGAACGCUGGCGGCGUGCUUAACACAUGCAAGUCGAACGGGGUUUAGGAGCUUGCUCCUAGACCUAGUGGCGAACGGGUGAGUAACGCGUGAGUAACCUGCCCAUAUCAGGGGAAUAACACAGUGAAAACUGUGCUAAUACCGCAUAAGACCACAGAGAGGCAUCUCUCAGGGGUAAAAGAUUUAUCGGAUAUGGAUGGGCUCGCGUCCUAUUAGGUAGUUGGUGAGGUAACGGCUCACCAAGCCCGCGAUAGGUAGCCGACCUUAGAGGGUGAUCGGCCACAUUGGAACUGAGAAACGGUCCAGACUCCUACGGGAGGCAGCAGUGGGGAAUAUUGGGCAAUGGAGGCAACUCUGACCCAGCAACGCCGCGUGAAUGAUGAAGGUCUUCGGAUUGUAAAGUUCUGUGAUGGGGGAUGAACACAAUGACGGUACCCCAAUAGCAAGCCACGGCUAACUACGUGCCAGCAGCCGCGGUAAUACGUAGGUGGCAAGCGUUAUCCGGAAUGACUG
rnacentral:rRNA from 1 species